AGUGAACGCUGGCGGUAGGCCUAACACAUGCAAGUCGAACGGCAGCACAGUAAGAGCUUGCUCUUACGGGUGGCGAGUGGCGGACGGGUGAGGAAUACAUCGGAAUCUACUUUUUCGUGGGGGAUAACGUAGGGAAACUUACGCUAAUACCGCAUACGACCUACGGGUGAAAGCAGUGGAUCUUCGGACCUUGCGCGAUUGAAUGAGCCGAUGUCGGAUUAGCUAGUUGGCGGGGUAAAGGCCCACCAAGGCGACGAUCCGUAGCUGGUCUGAGAGGAUGAUCAGCCACACUGGAACUGAGACACGGUCCAGACUCCUACGGGAGGCAGCAGUGGGGAAUAUUGGACAAUGGGCGGAAGCCUGAUCCAGCCAUACCGCGUGGGUGAAGAAGGCCUUCGGGUUGUAAAGCCCUUUUGUUGGGAAAGAAAAGCAGCAGGUUAAUACCCCGCUGUUCUGACGGUACCCAAAGAAUAAGCACCGGCUAACUUCGUG
rnacentral:rRNA from 1 species